AUUGAACGCUGGCGGCAGGCCUAACACAUGCAAGUCGAGCGAGGGGCGGACGGGUGAGUCAUGUAUGGGGACUGCCCGAUAGAGGGGGAUAACUUCUGGAAACGGUGGCUCAUACCGCAUACUGGUGGAUGACCCAUAUGGGAUUAGCUAGUGGGUAAGGUAAUGGCUUACCUAGGCGACGAUCCCUCGCUGGUCUGAGAGGAUGAUCCGCCAAACUGGGACUGAGCCACGGCCCAGCCUCCAAGGGAGGCAGCAGUGGGGAAUAUUGCACAAUGGGCGCAAGCCUGAUGCAGCCAUGCCGCGUGGAUGAAGAAGUCCCUAGGGUUGUAAAGUACUUUCAGUCGGGAGGCGUUACCGACAGAAGAAGCACCGGCUAACUCCGUGCCAGCAGCCGCGGUAAUUC
rnacentral:rRNA from 1 species